rnacentral:lncRNA from 1 species
CAUACGGUAACUAAGAACCGCCUGUGGAAAUGCAUUUCUACAGGCGGUUCAGUUAUGCCAACCGCCUGUAGAAAUCUUUUUCCAGAAAAUAGGAAAUCGGUUUUUAAAAAUAGAAAAAAAGAUUUUAAUACAGGGAAGGCCCAUCAGCAAGUCGUGCUUUUUUCGCAAAAAAAAGGGUGCUUCGCGGCCGGUGGGAUUCGAAUCUAAGACCUUGUCCUUGCGCGUAGCCUCCUCUACCACUCCACCUAUCACUCACUUAAGUCUAUAUUAGAGUUUAGUUCCCCAC